GACGAACGCUGGCGGCGUGCUUAACACAUGCAAGUCGAACGAUGAAGCCUUCGGGUGGAUUAGUGGCGAACGGGUGAGUAACACGUGGGUGACCUGCCCUGCACUUUGGGAUAAGCCUGGGAAACUGGGUCUAAUACCGGAUAGGACCAUGGCCUGCAUGGGUUGUGGUGGAAAGCUUUUGCGGUGUGGGAUGGGCCCGCGGCCUAUCAGCUUGUUGGUGGGGUGAUGGCCUACCAAGGCUGCGACGGGUAGCCGGCCUGAGAGGGUGUCCGGCCACACUGGGACUGAGAUACGGCCCAGACUCCUACGGGAGGCAGCAGUGGGGAAUAUUGCACAAUGGGCGCAAGCCUGAUGCAGCGACGCCGCGUGGGGGAUGACGGCCUUCGGGUUGUAAACCUCUUUCAAUAGGGACGAAGCGCAAGUGACGGUACCUAUAGAAGAAGCACCGGCCAACUACGUGCCAGCCGCCGCCGUAACAC
rnacentral:rRNA from 1 species